CAGCAGCCGCGGUAAUACGAAGGGGGCUAGCGUUGUUCGGAAUCACUGGGCGUAAAGGGUGCGUAGGCGGGUUUCUAAGUCAGGGGUGAAAUCCUGGAGCUCAACUCCAGAACUGCCCUUGAUACUGGAAGUCUUGAGUAUGGGAGAGGUGAGUGGAACUGCGAGUGUAGAGGUGAAAUUCGUAGAUAUUCGGAAGAACACCAGUGGCGAAGGCGGCUUACUGGCUCAUUCUAGACGCUGAGGUGCGAAAGCGUGGGGAGCAAACAGGAUUAGAUACCCGUGUAGUCCCUGUCUCUUAUAC
rnacentral:rRNA from 1 species